AAAUUGAAGAGUUUGAUCAUGGCUCAGAUUGAACGCUGGCGGCAGGCCUAACACAUGCAAGUCGAACGGUAACAGGAAGCAGCUUGCUGCUUUGCUGACGAGUGGCGGACGGGUGAGUAAUGUCUGGGAAACUGCCUGAUGGAGGGGGAUAACUACUGGAAACGGUGGCUAAUACCGCAUAACGUCGCAAGACCAAAGAGGGGGACCUUCGGGCCUCUUGCCAUCAGAUGUGCCCAGAUGGGAUUAGCUUGUUGGUGAGGUAACGGCUCACCAAGGCGACGAUCCCUAGCUGGUCUGAGAGGAUGACCAGCCACACUGGAACUGAGACACGGUCCAGACUCCUACGGGAGGCAGCAGUGGGGAAUAUUGCACAAUGGGCGCAAGCCUGAUGCAGCCAUGCCGCGUGUAUGAAGAAGGCCUUCGGGUUGUAAAGUACUUUCAGCGGGGAGGAAGGUGUUGUGGUUAAUAACCACAGCAAUUGACGUUACCCGCAGAAGAAGCACCGGCUAACUCCGUGCCAGCAGCCGCGGUAAUACGGAGGGUGCAAGCGUUAAUCGGAAUUACUGGGCGUAAAGCGCACGCAGGCGGUCUGUCAAGUCGGAUGUGAAAUCCCCGGGCUCAACCUGGGAACUGCAUUCGAAACUGGCAGGCUUGAGUCUUGUAGAGGGGGGUAGAAUUCCAGGUGUAGCGGUGAAAUGCGUAGAGAUCUGGAGGAAUACCGGUGGCGAAGGCGGCCCCCUGGACAAAGACUGACGCUCAGGUGCGAAAGCGUGGGGAGCAAACAGGAUUAGAUACCCUGGUAGUCCACGCCGUAAACGAUGUCUACUUGGAGGUUGUGCCCUUGAGGCGUGGCUUCCGGAGCUAACGCGUUAAGUAGACCGCCUGGGGAGUACGGCCGCAAGGUUAAAACUCAAAUGAAUUGACGGGGGCCCGCACAAGCGGUGGAGCAUGUGGUUUAAUUCGAUGCAACGCGAAGAACCUUACCUGGUCUUGACAUCCACAGAACUUUCCAGAGAUGGAUUGGUGCCUUCGGGAACUGUGAGACAGGUGCUGCAUGGCUGUCGUCAGCUCNNNNNNNNNNNNNNNNNNNNGAGACUGCCAGUGAUAAACUGGAGGAAGGUGGGGAUGACGUCAAGUCAUCAUGGCCCUUACGACCAGGGCUACACACGUGCUACAAUGGCGCAUACAAAGAGAAGCGACCUCGCGAGAGCAAGCGGACCUCAUAAAGUGCGUCGUAGUCCGGAUUGGAGUCUGCAACUCGACUCCAUGAAGUCGGAAUCGCUAGUAAUCGUGGAUCAGAAUGCCACGGUGAAUACGUUCCCGGGCCUUGUACACACCGCCCGUCACACCAUGGGAGUGGGUUGCAAAAGAAGUAGGUAGCUUAACCUUCGGGAGGGCGCUUACCACUUUGUGAUUCAUGACUGGGGUGAAGUCGUAACAAGGUAACCGUAGGGGAACCUGCGGUUGGAUCACCUCCUUACCUUAAAGAAGC
rnacentral:rRNA from 1 species